UAGGGAAUCUUCCGCAAUGGACGAAAGUCUGACGGAGCAACGCCGCGUGAGUGAUGAAGGUCUUCGGAUCGUAAAACUCGGUUGUUAGGGAAGAACAAGUAUCGGAGUCACUGCCGGUACCUUGACGGUACCUAACCAGAAAGCCACGGCUAACUACGUGCCAGCAGACG
rnacentral:rRNA from 1 species